rnacentral:rRNA from 1 species
CUACGGGUCGCACCAGUGGGGAAUAUUGCACAAUGGGCGCAAGCCUGAUGCAGCCAUGCCGCGUGUAUGAAGAAGGCCUUCGGGUUGUAAAGUACUUUCAGCGGGGAGGAAGGGAGUAAAGUUAAUACCUUUGCUCAUUGACGUUACCCGCAGAAGAAGCACCGGCUAACUCCGUGCCAGCAGCCGCGGUAAUACGGAGGGUGCAAGCGUUAAUCGGAAUGACUGGGCGUAAAGCGCACGCAGGCGGUUUGUUAAGUCAGAUGUGAAAUCCCCGGGCUCAACCUGGGAACGGCAUCUGAUACUGGCAAGCUUGAGUGUCGUAGAGGGGGGUAGAAUUCCAGGUGUAGCGGUGAAAUGCGUAGAGAUCUGGAGGAAUACCGGUGGCGAAGGCGGCCCCCUGGACGAAGACUGACGCUCAGGUGCGAAAGCGUGGGGAGCAAGCAGGAUUAGAUACCCCUGUAGUC